AUACGUAGGGGGCGAGCGUUGUCCGGAAUGAUUGGGCGUAAAGGGCGCGUAGGCGGCCCGGUAAGUCUGGAGUGAAAGUCCUGUUUUUAAGAUGGGAAUUGCUUUGGAUACUGUCGGGCUUGAGUGCAGGAGAGGUUAUCGGAAUUCCCGGUGUAGCGGUGAAAUGCGUAGAGAUCGGGAGGAACACCAGUGGCGAAGGCGGGUAACUGGACUGCAACUGACGCUGAGGCGCGAAAGUGUGGGGAGCAAACAGGAUUAGAUACCCUGGUAGUCCACACUGUAAACGAUGAAUGCUAGGUGUAAGAGGUAUCGACCCCUUUUGUGCCGGAGUCAACACAAUAAGCAUUCCGCCUGGGGAGUACGGCCGCAAGGUUGAAACUCAAAGGAAUUGACGGGG
rnacentral:rRNA from 1 species